UACACUCCUGCGGGAGGCAGCAGUGGGGAAUAUUGGACAAUGGGCGCAAGCCUGAUCCAGCCAUGCCGCGUGAGUGAUGAAGGCCCUAGGGUUGUAAAGCUCUUUCACCGGUGAAGAUAAUGACGGUAACCGGAGAAGAAGCCCCGGCUAACUUCGUGCCAGCAGCCGCGGUAAUACGAAGGGGGCUAGCGUUGUUCGGAUUUACUGGGCGUAAAGCGCACGUAGGCGGACUAUUAAGUCAGGGGUGAAAUCCCGGGGCUCAACCCCGGAACUGCCUUUGAUACUGGUAGUCUUGAGUUCGAGAGAGGUGAGUGGAAUUCCGAGUGUAGAGGUGAAAUUCGUAGAUAUUCGGAGGAACACCAGUGGCGAAGGCGGCUCACUGGCUCGAUACUGACGCUGAGGUGCGAAAGCGUGGGGAGCAAACAGGAUUAGAAACCCGGUAGUCCCAUGAU
rnacentral:rRNA from 1 species